rnacentral:tRNA from 1 species
ACUGGGGUUCCCGAGUGGUCAAAGGGGGGAGACUUAAGAUCUCCUGCGUAUGCUUCGUGGGUUCAAACCCCACCUCCAGUA